GGAGAGGUGGCCGAGCGGUUGAAGGCGCAGACCUGGAAAGUCUGUAUACUCCUAAAGGGUAUCAAGGGUUCGAAUCCCUUCCUCUCCGCCA
rnacentral:tRNA from 1 species